CUCACACAAUGUUACGCAAGAUGAUUUGAAAAGUUCUCUCCCCUAUGUCGUGGGUAUUUUAUGGGUGGAUCGAGUUAUGCAAGUAUUUCAUAGGGCAUCAUUUUUUUACAGUUGGAAGGAUGACCGGAUGGAAUAUUUUUAAUUGUGUAAUUUAUGCUGGAAAUGUGGGAGAUUUUUUUAACUUGAGCUGACCCCGAGAAGACGCCGAGGUAAGGAACAAGAAUAACAAAUCGUAUUGUUGUCGGGUCGGGUCAUAUGCCACUCGAAGUUUGUGUUGAUGGACAUAGGUCACCCACAAGGGGACCUUUGAGAUCAAUUCAAACCUGUGUUUGUGUUUGUUGCUAUAUUUGCAUGAGGAGGAAGCGUCGAAAAGCAGGCGUCGUGUUGAAUCUGGUUGUGAAUGAGGUGCUGCUGAUCAGGAAAAAAUAAACCAAACGAUGAUGAUGCUGCUGCUGAUGAUGAUGAGUCAAAGUUUCGAAAAAUCGUCUGUCAGCCCUCUUUGAUUUAUGGAGGAGAUGAUUGACACACAACGUAAACAAAUAACAAAUGGCUCCACUUCACCCAAGAUAAUUGAUUCUUAACAGCAAAUAGGCUUUCUUCCAGCCAUGUCUGAUUUAUUCGGAUACUGGGUCAUUUAGGUUACGGAUGGAUGAAGCUUCAUUAACAAAAAGUUGGUUGGUGCAGUGCAAGCAACUUAAGCGUGGGUGGAUGUGACAAUGGCAAUAAGUCACAAAUUGGAUGUGCAGUGCAGUGGAGACGACUAUCUCGUACCACUAACAUGACUUGAAGAGUUUCCGUCGUGGUGGUAGAUUUUGGACCAAGGAGCGGAUGUGACAUAAAUGAAGUCGUCGUCGUCGUCUGUCUGUCCAUAUAAUUGGAUUCAGUUUGGGCCUUCCUUCCAAAACAAUGUGCACUUUCUGGCACGCGUUUCUUGUUUACAAUGUGUCAUUAAUUAGCAGCUCAAUUAUCCUGGCAACAAACAUUAUACAAGGCUAACUGCUCUAACUUCCGCUCAACUAAAAACUGGACCCAGCUGCGACAUAGUUUACACAUCGUAAUAAUCUGUCUUUGUUGUAUUCGUAUAUGACCUGCCCAAUUUUUAGCCCAAUAAUAAGCACCAUAAAUUGGGAAUGGAUCAGAAGGAAAAUAUGGCCCUGCAAAA